rnacentral:rRNA from 1 species
CCAGACUCCUACGGGAGGCAGCAGUGGGGAAUAUUGCACAAUGGGGGAAACCCUGAUGCAGCGACGCCGCGUGAGCGAUGAAGUAUUUCGGUAUGUAAAGCUCUAUCAGCAGGGAAGAAGGUGACGGUACCUGACUAAGAAGCCCCGGCUAACUACGUGCCAGCAGCCGCGGUAAUACGUAGGGGGCAAGCGUUAUCCGGAUUUACUGGGUGUAAAGGGCGUGUAGGCGGGAAAGCAAGUCAGAUGUGAAAACCACGGGCUCAACCUGUGGCCUGCAUUUGAAACUGUUUUUCUUGAGUACUGGAGAGGCAGACGGAAUUCCUAGGGUAGCGGUGAAAUGCGUAGAUAUUAGGAGGAACACCAGUGGCGAAGGCGGUCCGCUGGACAGCAACUGACGCUGAGGCGCGAAAGCGUGGGGAGCAGACAGGAUUAGAUACCCUCGUA